AUGCUGAAUAUUAUGUUCAUUGACUGCACUAGGAAUGGCGAGCAUGGGACUGCAGAAGAACAGGGGACAGGGCCAGCAUUACCAGGUCCUGUGGAUGCACCCGAGGAUGCUUCCAAGGAGAAUGUUAGCCCCACUAAGGAAUCUGAUGAGGCUGAAGACAAUGGGGAGGUACCACUGAAGUUCAGAAACUACCUUCCUCAUGAUGAGCGACUUCGAGGCGGUAAGGUGGCUCCUCUGUCUCUUCCCAAGUUUGAAGAUCCAAUCGCUGCUGAUGCUGCUGAGCCAAAGCAGCUCGAGAACCCUUUUGGGAACAUUGCUCCAAAGAACCCAAACUGGGAUCUGAAACGGGACGUGCAGAAGAGGAUCGACAAGCUGGAGAAGCGCACGCAGAAAGCUCUGGCUGAGAUCGCAUUGGAGCAGCAAAAGGAGAAAGAGGCGCUGGAAGAAGGAAGCGAUGCAGCUCAGGAGUGA
rnacentral:rRNA from 1 species